CUUGGCUCUUUGCCUUUUGGAUUUUGUCAGCAGCAAGUGGCUGAACCUGGUCUGUUUAGGACUCCUGACAGGCAGGGG